rnacentral:rRNA from 1 species
AGACCCGAAACCCGGUGAUCUAGCCAUGGGCAGGUUGAAGGUUGGGUAACACUAACUGGAGGACCGAACCGACUAAUGUUGAAAAAUUAGCGGAUGACCUGUGGCUGGGGGUGAAAGGCCAAUCAAACCGGGAGAUAGCUGGUUCUCCCCGAAAGCUAUUUAGGUAGCGCCUCGUGAAUUCAUCUCCGGGGGUAGAGCACUGUUUCGGCUAGGGGGCCAUCCCGGCUUACCAACCCGAUGCAAACUGCGAAUACCGGAGAAUGUUAUCACGGGAGACACACGGCGGGUGCUAACGUCCGUCGUGAAGAGGGAAACAACCCAGACCGCCAGCUAAGGUCCCAAAGUCAUGGUUAAGUGGGAAACGAUGUGGGAAGGCCCAGACAGCCAGGAUGUUGGCUUAGAAGCAGCCAUCAUUUAAAGAAAGCGUAAUAGCUCACUGGUCGAGUCGGCCUGCGCGGAAGAUGUAACGGGGCUAAACCAUGCACCGAAGCUGCGGCAGCGACACUGUGUGUUGUUGGGUAGGGGAGCGUUCUGUAAGCCUGUGAAGGUGUGUCGUGAGGCAUGCUGGAGGUAUCAGAAGUGCGAAUGCUGACAUAAGUAACGAUAAAGCGGGUGAAAAGCCCGCUCGCCGGAAGACCAAGGGUUCCUGUCCAACGUUAAUCGGGGCAGGGUGAGUCGACCCCUAAGGCGAGGCCGAAAGGCGUAGUCGAUGGGAAACGGGUUAAUAUUCCCGUACUUGGUGUUACUGCGAAGGGGGGACGGAGAAGGCUAUGUUGGCCGGGCGACGGUUGUCCCGGUUUAAGCGUGUAGGUGUGUGUUCCAGGUAAAUCCGGUUCACUUUAACACUGAGGCGUGACGACGAGGCACUACGGUGCUGAAGCAACAAAUGCCCUGCUUCCAGGAAAAGCCUCUAAGCAUCAGGUAACAUCAAAUCGUACCCCAAACCGACACAGGUGGUCAGGUAGAGAAUACCAAGGCGCUUGAGAGAACUCGGGUGAAGGAACUAGGCAAAAUGGUGCCGUAACUUCGGGAGAAGGCACGCUGACACGUAGGUGAAGUGAUUUACUCAUGGAGCUGAAGUCAGUCGAAGAUACCAGCUGGCUGCAACUGUUUAUUAAAAACACAGCACUGUGCAAACACGAAAGUGGACGUAUACGGUGUGACGCCUGCCCGGUGCCGGAAGGUUAAUUGAUGGGGUCAGCGCAAGCGAAGCUCCUGAUCGAAGCCCCGGUAAACGGCGGCCGUAACUAUAACGGUCCUAAGGUAGCGAAAUUCCUUGUCGGGUAAGUUCCGACCUGCACGAAUGGCGUAAUGAUGGCCAGGCUGUCUCCACCCGAGACUCAGUGAAAUUGAACUCGCUGUGAAGAUGCAGUGUACCCGCGGCAAGACGGAAAGACCCCGUGAACCUUUACUAUAGCUUGACACUGAACAUUGAGCCUUGAUGUGUAGGAUAGGUGGGAGGCUUUGAAGCGUGGACGCCAGUCUGCGUGGAGCCGACCUUGAAAUACCAC